AUUGAACGCUGGCGGCAGGCCUAACACAUGCAAGUCGAGCGAGCGGCGGACGGGUGAGUAAUGUCUGGGAAACUGCCUGAUGGAGGGGGAUAACUACUGGAAACGGUAGCUAAUACCGCAUACCAUCGGAUGUACCCAUAUGGGAUUAGCUAGUAGGUGGGGUAACGGCUCACCUAGGCGACGAUCCCUAGCUGGUCUGAGAGGAUGACCAGCCACACUGGGACUGAGACACGGCCCAGACUCCUACGUGAGGCAGCAGUGGGGAAUAUUGCACAAUGGGCGCAAGCCUGAUGCAGCCAUGCCGCGUGUAUGAAGAAGGCCCUAGGGUUGUAAAGUACUUUCAGCGGGGAGGCGUUACCGACAGAAGAAGCACCGGCUAACUCCGUGCCAGCAGCCGCGGUAAUAC
rnacentral:rRNA from 1 species